CAGUAGCCGCGGUAAUACGAAGGGUGCAAGCGUUACUCGGAAUUACUGGGCGUAAAGCGUGCGUAGGUGGUGGUUUAAGUCCGUUGUGAAAGCCCUGGGCUCAACCUGGGAAUUGCAGUGGAUACUGGGUCACUAGAGUGUGGUAGAGGAUAGUGGAAUUUCCGGUGUAGCAGUGAAAUGCGUAGAGAUCGGAAGGAACAUCUGUGGCGAAGGCGACUAUCUGGGCCAACACUGACACUGAGGCACGAAAGCGUGGGGAGCAAACAGGAUUAGAUACCCCUGUAGUCCCUGUUUCUUAUAC
rnacentral:rRNA from 1 species